rnacentral:rRNA from 1 species
GGAUGCGAUCAUACCAGCACUAAAGCACCGGAUUCCAUCAGAACUCUGAAGUUAAGCGUGCUUGGGUGAGAGUAGUACUAGGAUGGGUGACCUCCUGGGAAGUCCUCGUGUUGCAUUCC